AAAAGGAAUCUGAAUUUGGUCUCAAGCUGACACUUCGAGAAGCGAAUUUAACACUGCCAGACUGCUGGAUUUUCUCCAGGGUUGCUUAUUUGGAGAGAAGGCAUUCCUUCCCUAGUCACACCCGUGUGUCAGUGACUGUGGGUGGCAGAACCUCAGGAGGUCACCCAGUCCAACCCCGUGCCCGGGCAGGGCCACCCUGAGCCAGCUGCCCAAAAGCAUGGCCAGCCUUUCCCAGGGAACCACUGAGUUCCCUCCCAUCUUCUGACGAAGUCUUCUUCAUCCCCUCCCGUCAGGUAUUUAUGGAUGAAGGAUCCCUCCAGCCCUUCUGUUCCACAGGCUGAACAGUCCCAGCUUUCUCAGCAUCUGCUCAUAGACAGUGUGCUAUCUGAGACACCCAUGUCUUACAGUGCUUUUCUCUCUCAAAGCCUACCAAACAAUGAGUGAAUGCCAAUAAAUUUAUGACUGUUUAUUAAACAGUUAUAGCCUUUCCCACAGAGUUAAGCUUGACAAUUAGAAAUGUCUUUUCUGUGAAUCUGUUCUAUAAAUCCACAAUACCAAGAGCUCACAAAGCUGAGGAGUUACGGUCUGAGGUGGCUGUUGGUAGCUGACAGUCCAGUUCACCUCAAGGUUGUUCAUUCAACAGACUGUCAUGUCUGUAGUCAGAGAAUAAUUACUAUUUAAUAGAUCUGGUCUGGUUCCAGUACAAAGGAUGACUUUGUUAGACAUGUGCUCUGUAAAAGCUUAAGGCAAAAGAACACAGGAGCUGAGCUGUACCACUGAGGAAAUACAGAAUAUUGAUAUAAAAUCUGUAUUUUGAAAGGAUGAAACAUGUUCAGUUAAACACAUUGUUCUUCAAGUGAAGCACCAGGUCUAAUAUGUCUUUAGACCAGAAUUAACCACAUGAAGCUGCAUUUAGCUUGCCCUGUCCUCAAAAAUACUGCCUUUAGUCCAGGAAACUAUGUGAAUGAUUUUUAUGUUGAUCAGAUAACUCAUACUAUUUGAAUAUUCAUACUGUUUUAUUAAAGUUAUGUUCUGCUUUUCAAUGAGUUGCAGAAAGCUACAACAGAAAAUAUUAAUUUUUUUUCACAUAAUAGUUUGCUCAUAGGACAACCUCCUCCCAGAUACAAAACUCCCAAGUCUGCAGGACCUCACAUUUCAAGGAAACUAGCUAUAACCAAGCGAAAGUUUUUGGGGUUUCACCAGCUACUUGGUGGCAUCAUCAGAUGACAUUGACUUCAAAAUCAACGUAUUAAGGACAUAUUUGGCUUUAAGUACCGCCCUUAUUUCCUUCCAUAAAUAAACCUGGCUAUCUAGAAUAUGACACAGAACCUCAGCUAUACUGGUACUAUUACUAGUUUGUGUUCUUAUCUUCAUGUACAUACAAUUGAGGAGAAAAGCAAACACACCUGUGUCCACUUCUAAGAUUGGGACAUGUCUUUCCCCAGCAUGCUUUCACAUUUAAAAUUAAAAGAUUAUAUUGGACCUUAUGUUUGUGAUAUAAAAAGGUAGUUUGGAAAAAGUACUUUAGAAGUACUUAAGUACUUCUCUGGAAAUGAUGUUGUGCAUAGAUGUCCUGAUUUACAAUUAAUUAUAUGUUUCUCCCAGAAGUACAAUUUUCUGUUCCCUUUAAAUUCUACAUGUUAACCUGGAUUUUUCAAAUGUCUUCGUUUUUUGGUUGGGAUUUAUUUCAAAUCCGUGUCUCAGAAUAAAAUGUAUUUUCUUUAGAUGUACCUUUGUAUUAGUUGUUUGUCACUAAAGUUGGAACACAUGGGAAGAGACUAAAACACACCAAGCCACAGCAAACAUUUCCUCACAUUUUAAAGGGAUGUAUUUUUCCUGUUGAGUUCAUUUUUGUAAAGAGA